GAUGAACGCUGGCGGCGUGCCUAAUACAUGCAAGUCGAGCGAACAGAUGAGGAGCUUGCUCCUCUGACGUUAGCGGCGGACGGGUGAGUAACACGUGGAUAACCUACCUAUAAGACUGGGAUAACUUCGGGAAACCGGAGCUAAUACCGGAUAAUAUAUUGAACCGCAUGGUUCAAUAGUGAAAGACGGUUUUGCUGUCACUUAUAGAUGGAUCCGCGCCGCAUUAGCUAGUUGGUAAGGUAACGGCUUACCAAGGCAACGAUGCGUAGCCGACCUGAGAGGGUGAUCGGCCACACUGGAACUGAGACACGGUCCAGACUCCUACGGGAGGCAGCAGUAGGGAAUCUUCCGCAAAGGGCGAAAGCCUGACGGAGCAACGCCGCGUGAGUGAUGAAGGUCUUCUGAUCGUAAAACUCUGUUAUUAGGGAAGAACAAAUGUGUAAGUAACUAUGCACGUCUUGACGGUACCUAAUCAGAAAGCCACGGCUAAGUACGUG
rnacentral:rRNA from 1 species